CUGGGCCUCAGCUUCCCCACUGGCAAAACCUUGGAUGCAUCGCUUUGCUGCAGAUGUGUGAGGUAUGGCAUUCUGGCAGGAUUUACUUCACCCAACUGUGAGUUUCUGGAUUUCAGACGAUCCUCAAGCAUUUUGGGAAGGAGAAUAUUAUGCCCAGUUGAAAGACAGAAAACUGAGGCCAGAGUGACAUAUUUUUGAAAGUGAAAGAAACCUUGGAAAUCAUCAACCUCCUUGUGCAGAGAGUCCCUUGGUCUGCAAGGAGAUCAAACCAGUCAAUCCUAAAGGAAAUCAACCC